UGGCGGCGUGCUUAACACAUGCAAGUCGAACGGGGAUCAUAUGGAUGAGAGCUUCGGCAGGAUUCCGAAUGAUUCGAGUGGCGGACGGGUGAGUAACGCGUGAGCAACCUGUCCCAGACAGGGGGAUAACACUUGGAAACAGGUGCUAAUACCGCAUGAGACCACAGUAUCGCAUGGUACAGGGGUAAAAGGUGCAAACCGGUUUGGGGUGGGCUCGCGUCCGAUUAGAUAGUUGGUGAGGUAACGGCCCACCAAGUCGACGAUCGGUAGCCGACCUGAGAGGGUGAUCGGCCACAUUGGAACUGAGAGACGGUCCAAACUCCUACGGGAGGCAGCAGUGGGGAAUAUUGGGCAAUGGGCGAAAAAGCCUGACCCAGCAACGCCGCGUGAGUGAAGAAGGCUUUCGGGUUGUAAAGCUCUGUUAUAGGGGACGAAGGAAGUGACGGUACCCUAUAAGGAAGCCCCGGCUAACUACGUGCCAGCAGCCGC
rnacentral:rRNA from 1 species